CCUUUGAACUGGUUCACAGUGCACCAGUGUUACCUAUGGCCUUGCUGUCUGAUGGACUUCCUCCAAAGUGUCCAGCUAGAAACUCCAUGUUCCCUGGAAAUACUUUCUCUCUGCCUUGUGCUCAGAGCACAGAUGUGAAUAGGGACCUAGACAUUUUUGUGGAUGGCUCCAACUUUUAUGAGGAAGGAAAAUGUUCAUUUCCACGGGUCAUGAGUCAGACAACUCUGGGCAAAAUUAAUUAACCAGGCUAUAUGCAGGCUGAUCCAUCCCGUACUACUUCUCCAACCCCAGUCCCUUCCAUUCCCUUUUGCUUGUAGUAUUUAUAGUGCUAGGAAAUCUAAAUGUUGAGGUUGCCCACCUCAGUCAGUGCAGAGGUAUCAUGGCCCUGCCUGGCUGCCCAGUAAGAGCCAUUUAAUUUAUAUUCCCUGUUUUGUGAUUUUGGACAUAAAAGGCAGAAGCAGAAUACUUGCGGUCUCAAUUCUCACCAGACACCUAGCAUAGAAGAAAAGGCAAUGUCAUAACGCUGAGUUGUCACCGUGGCUAAUUACAAGACCGAAGUAGAAGGGGCUGGGCUAUAGGGGAGGAAGAGCCCCAGAGGAGUCAUGCAAUGCUGUUGCACCUGGACCCUCAGGGAACCACUGAUCAUCACCUCCAGACAAGUGAAAGUUCACUCAGUGGAAACAACAAAGUCAUGGUGUGAGUGACCCAAGGGGGCAGGACAUGCCUGUGGCCUAUCAGCAACUGUGUUGAGCAUGAAUCUGUCACAAAUCCUCUCCCCACUGCAGCAGAAGUCUCUUCCAUCUUUGUCCUGUCCCCUUGCUGACACUAGCUCAAGCCCAGGAUGAUUGCAGUGAGGCCUGGUGGUGGGCAGUGGUAUCCUAGUAGAGAAUUACAGAGGAAUGAGGAUGCUGCAGCACUACAGACUCCCCAUGCAGUUGGGCUAGGAACAGCAGGAUGCCUGAUCCAGCCCAUUGCAUGACUUCCCAUUGCAUCCAGAGCUGCCCUGUUUCCCAGGGCCAACAAUCAAGCUGUCACAGCGCCUGUCCUCCCUAGACAUCUUCAUCAGGAUCACAACUGUGACAUGAUGAAGUCAUCUCCAGAUCCAGUUGACACAGUCUGGAGCAGAAGUCAAGAUGCCUGGGGUUGUUUCCAGCAUCCUCUGCUCUCAAGGAGUGACCAACAUCUGAGCUCCCUGGGAGAAUCCAGAGCCU